CUUAAGGUAUAAGAGCAUAAUAUAUAUAUGUUGUAUGGGUGAAAGUUGAGGUACGAGUGGUAUUGUGGUAAGGGUUUUCUAUCCAUUAGGUCCCUCUUGCAUUUUUCACUUGUUUUGUAGGUGAUUUGGAAGAUUGCUAAGGGAGGAAAUGGCUCAAGAAGGGAUUGGCAAUAUGGGAGAAUUUUUUAAGAGAAUGGAUUUACGCAAAGCAAUUUCAUAUGGUAGUAAACCAUAGUUAGCCUUGUAUUCUAUCAACUAGGUUCAAAAGAUGGCAACUCAAACUGGGUUGGACUUCAUUGAUUGGAUUAUUAUGUUGGAAAACAAAUGUCAUCAAGUGAGAAUAUUAUUUCGAAUUUAAGGGGUAAUAGAUUCUAUUUUGACCUGACAUAAUUAAUUCACUAUUUUAAUUUAGUUUAUACUGCUGAUGGAUUGUUAUGAGUAAUUUUUCUUUCUUUUAUGUUUUAUUUGAAUAUUGUAGUCGUAGACUAUUGUUGAUAUUGUGAAUUAGGUAUGUACAUAUGAUAUGUAUAUAUAUAAUCAUAUAAAAGACCAUCAUAUAUAAAAAGAAAAGACUAAAGAUGCACUAGAUUAAUAUAUAUAUAUAUAAUCAUAUGAAGGCCUGGCGCAUAUAGACUUGAUUCAUUCAUUCAUUUAUCCAUUAAGGACCUGAAUUUGUGGUUGUAAAUUAAAAGUUAGUUUGGAUUUUGAGUUGCACACAAAGUGUUUGAUAAAAUGCACAUGCGUAUUUCAGAUUGGUUCCAUUUAAUUUGUGCACUUAGUCUUCUUUAUAUUAACACUUAUCAUGAGAUCUUUUCCAUUAAUUAAUUAAUUAAUUUUACAUAUUAUGGCAUUAAUUAUAUGCCUAAUUGAUUGUAUAUCAAAGCCAUAUAUAUAUGUGUGUGUCGUACUCCCCACUAUGUUUUUCUUCUUUUCUUUACAGUUCGAUUAUACGUUGAAAUACGUCAUAACAAUCCUAGUUAUACUGACCACUCUGAAAUUGUUAGAUCCUUACUUACUAUGUAAUUGUAAAUAGGAUUAAUCAGUAUGUCUCUUUCAUAUAAAAUACGUAUAUAUUUUUUUAAUUAAUACGAUUCUAUUAACUACUUUGGUUAAGGGGAAAAAGAAACUAUUAUUUACUAUGUCAAUUAUAGAACAUAUUUAAGAACAGGUAGAAGAUAUUAAUAAACAAAAUAAAAGAAACCACUGUGGUGGUCUUGAUUUGUUUUAAUGCAGCUGUUUGGCUGGAUGCAAAAUAAUCUUAAUUGAAAACAAACAACCAAGAAUACAAAUACAGUUCCAGCAACUAGUAAGUACUCCAGCUUUUUCCACUUUCUUUCUGUCGAAAAUGAACAUGUUUUUCACUUGUUUAUUUGGAUCUGAAUUUUAUAAAUGUAUAUGUGUGUGGGUAUACAUUAUUAAGUUGAUCAAUUCUUGUAUAUACUCUGUUUCUGUUACGAUGCAUAUAUAUAUAUGUUAAAGCAUGGAUAUUGAAGGUUGUGGAAAUAUGGUCAGAAGUACUGACCAAUCACCAUAUCACCUUUAGAAAAGGGUCUCCAUAUAUAUAUAAACAAAGAAUACAUGAAUAUAUUUAUCAAACGUGUCUCAAAUAUGGAUUGGACCAAGUUUAGAUCUGAUUAUUGAUAAGUCAACAGCUUGAGCUUGGUUAUCAAAGGGGUCAAGUAUUUUGGAUCUGAUAAUUAGAAAGGCUGGAAAAUCAAAUUAAAAAAAUAUAUAAUAUUAUAUUUAUAUAAACCUCCAUUAUUAUCAGAUCCCCAGGGAGAGAGAGAGUCAUAAAUUUUUAACAAUUAAGUACUGACAUGAGUGAGUACAUAUUUCAAUAAUCAUAACAAAGAACUUGAUGAAAUAAUGCAUAAAUACAUGAAAAUUAGAAAUACGAAAUACGAAAAUUCAUAAUAACUAAUAGAAAAAUUGAAUACAAUCAUUUUUUAUAAUUAUAUGUAUAUUUAAAAUGUAUAGGAAGAGAGAGGUAUAUUCUAAUUGUUUAAUUUGAUUGUGUGUUGUGGUGAUAAUGGAAGGUUGAAAACUUGUAUGUCUUAAUUUGGAUUCUAAUUGUUUAAACAUAUUCAGAGGUAUAUUCUUUUAUUCUUUUUAAUAUUAUACAAGUGUAUGUUAGAGGAGUUUGAAUAUCAAAAUAUUCAUCUAUAGUGAACUAGGUUCUCAGAUUAUAAUUGUGUGCUACGGUGAUAACGGAAGGUUGAGAACUUGUAUGUCUUAGUAAAGCAGGCUCUGUGAUAUAUAUAAUUGCAUGCUAGGGCAGAUAUAAGGAAGACAAUUUUUGUUGUUGUUUUAAUUGAUUGAAUUAUUUGAAUUGAUAUUGACAGAUGGUUAGGUUACAAAUAUAGGGAAAGUGCUAUCCGUUUUAAAUUAUAUAAAAAUAGUAUGAAUGAUUUAGAUUAUGAAAGAUUAACGUUUCACUUUCAUUUAUAUUCCAAUAGAGCUCAAGUAGUCAUAUAUUUUGACUACUUCAAGCUUUCAAACAUGCUUUCUUCUCCGCAACUUCAAGCUUCCUAGUCAAUUCCUCAUUCUUAGUUUGCUCAGCAACAUAAACCUGAAUGGCCUCCUCAUAUUUCUCUGAAUCUCUUUAUUGGAAGAAACUAAGUUUCUUAUAUUUUGAAUUUCAAGUUUUUUAAUGAUAUGAAUGAAAAAAAUUGAAAAUUAGAUGAUGUAAAAUGAAGAGGGAAAAAUAGAAAGCAAUAACUACCCUCAACUGCUUCUCCAAUUGUAAACGCCAAGUAAGCUCCUCCGCACGCUUUUCCAAUUUGUCCUUGGCUUCUUUAGGAGCCCCUGUUUCUCUAGCAGCCUAAAUAAAUUUGACAAAACAUUAUCACUUAGUAUUCCCCAAUUAACAUGAAACCAGAUUACAUUGAGUUGAAAGAAUAUAAAUAUAUAUAUAUAACAUGCCAUUUUGAGCUCUCUGAGUUCUUUUCUUGCAACUCUGCAUCUCCAGCCACACUGAGUGACAACUGCAGCCACACUGUUUGGCUUCACACAUCUGAUGUAGUAAGGCUUUGUUGCACACAAGAUUUUCAUCAAAGACUGAAGUUGUAACUGUGAAUUAAUAAAAGUUUAUUAGUCUUUAUGCUUUAUGAUCAUAAUAGAAACAUAUUCCGACAUUCGUAACACAAAAUUGGAGACAUUUGCAAUAAGAGAGCUGAAAAAUCAUAGAAUUGGUGACUAGAAAAAUACAAUAAUUCAUAUGGAAAGCAAUUACAUAACUAAUUCAUGGGAUAAACAUAAAUCAAUUCUAAUUAAAAUUUCUCAAUAGCAACAGUUAAAAACUGUCAGAAAAUCCCAUUUUUGCAGUAGUGUUUAUAACUAGAUUAUCUUUUCUUUUCUUGCUAAGUACUAUGGACUUAGAAUUUGAUGCAUAUUACCUACACAGUGCAUGUUGUUAUAUAUGUAUAUUAAUUUCUCGUUUUUUAUUGGAUUCUCUUUUCAGUCAGAUACUAUUUAUAUUUAGGCACACAUGCAACCACUGAUUGAGUUUUGUUAGAUUUUACAUGCCAUUAAUUUUUUUUUUUAAUUUUACUUUUAAUUAUUGAAGAGUUGUACAUUUGAUGUUUAUAAUUGCACCGCAGAAACUAGUUUCGGCUAUUCUCUUGCUUUUUGUUAUGGCUUCACUAAGUUGAAGUAUCUUCUUACAUACAAAGUAAAGUACUUGAAUUAGUUACUUAGUUGAUAUAAAUUUAUGUGGGGUUUAAUUAUUUGUUAUAUAUUUUUACCUUAUUCUGAGUUAUGUGGGGCAUAGACUUACACUUAGCUAUUUCAGAUAGAAAAGUGUUAUGGUUUAUGUAUGGUUUGUUUGGUAUAUUUCUGCUACAUUCAUUUCAUUCUGAUAUAUUAUUGUAUAAUUUUCAUUCUACAUUUCCAUCAAUGAGGCAUGACUCAUGCAUGUGAAGGAGUUGUUCAGCUUCUCUUCUUAGUGUUAGUGGCGAGUGGUGAUGAACUCAGCUGAUUCUCUUUCAACUCAAGAAAGAAAGGAACCAAAAUUUAUAAGCGUGUCUUGUUUGUUGUAUUCAAACUCUGAUUUGUGACCUCCCAGAGUGUCUGUCUUUGUUAAAAUUUAGAGUGAAAAUAAUUGUCUCUACAUGUUUCACCACAUUGGCCAUAACUUCAUGGGGCCUUAUCUAAGCUUGUGAUGUAAUAAUUGCAGUAUUCCAAUUUAAUCAUAAUUAUUGUUUAAAAUCCCAAGAACAGAUAUAUCAUAUUGAUUAUGCCUUGGAAGUUCUUAUGGGUUUUGGAAUUUAUUUUAGUUUUUGUUUGACUUUAA